GCAAGGCGGCCCUAUCGUUUGCAGGCGCGGCCGCAGGCACAAUGGCGGCGGCGGGCAAUCGUCGCGGACGGGCUGUUGUACCGCCCAUGGCGCCAUUGGCCUCGGGUCGCAACUCGGCGGCGAGCGCCGCCAUCAAACCGCGCGGCGGUGCGUCUUGCCGCUGCCGUGCCCUUGUCGUCGUCGUCGUCAUUUGCGUCCUUUCCUUUUAGCCCUCUGCCUCGUUCUCUUGUUAUGUUGUGUAUGCUGGCCCUCUUCUUUUUUGUUCUUUUCUUGAAAACUCUUUUUCUUUAAAGAUGAUCUCUUGUCUGUGGAUGCGCCCGCGGG
rnacentral:lncRNA from 1 species